rnacentral:rRNA from 1 species
AUUGAACGCUGGCGGCAGGCCUAAUACAUGCAAGUCGAGCGGAUGAAUGGAGCUUUCUCCUCUUUUCAGCAGCGGACGGGCGAGUAAUUUCUAGGAAUCUGCCUGGUAUUUGGGGAUAACGUCCGUUCGCGAGCGCUAAUAUCGCAUACGUUAUGAUAGUGAAAGUGGGGGUUCUUCAGUCCUCGCCCUAUCAGAUGUGCCUAGGUCGGAUUAGCUAGUUGGUGUGGUAAGGGCCUACCAAGGCGACGAUCCGUAACUGGUCUGAGAGGAUGAUCAGUCACACUGGAACUGAGACACGGUCCAGACUCCUACGGGAGGCAGCAGUGGGGAAUAUUGGGCAAUGGGCGAAAGCCUGAUCCAGCCAUGCCGCGUGUGUGAAGAAGGUCUUCGGAUUGUAAAGCACUGUAAGCUGGGAGGAAGAGCAGUAAGUUAAUACCUUGCUGUUUUGACGUUACCAACAGAGUAAGCACCGGCUAACUUCGUG